UACGGAGGGGCUAGCGUUGUUCGGAAUUACUGGGCGUAAAGCGAGUGUAGGCGGUUGGAAGUCGGAUGUGAAGCCCGGGCUCAACCCGGGAAGUGCACUCGAUACUCCAGCUAGAGUAUCGGAGAGGUUGGCGGAAUUCUCGGUGUAGAGGUGAAAUUCGUAGAUAUCGAGAGGAACACCGGCGGCGAAGGCGGCCAACUGGACGAAUACUGACGCUGAGACUGAAAGCGUGGGGAGCAAACAGG
rnacentral:rRNA from 1 species